UACAGAGGGGGCAAGCGUUAUUCGGAAUUAUUGGGCGUAAAGGGCGCGUAGGUGGCCCGGUCAGUCCGUGGUGAAAGCGCGGGGCUCAACCCCGCGUCGGCCAUGGAUACUGCUGGGCUUGAGCACUGUAGAGGCAGGCGGAAUUCCGGGUGUAGCGGUGGAAUGCGUAGAGAUCCGGAAGAACACCGGUGGCGAAGGCGGCCUGCUGGGCAGUGGCUGACACUGAGGCGCGACAGCGUGGGGAGCAAACAGG
rnacentral:rRNA from 1 species